UCCAUUUUUCUUUCACACAAUCACGGUAUCAAAAGAAUCUGCGAUGUAUAUGUUAUAUAGUUAUUAAAUAAUAUUUAUUCAAUUUCAUCAUAUCUGUAAAUUGUAAUCGAGAAACUAGGUGAACUUUCAUGAUAGUACGCUGUUAGCCAGGGCUGGUUUUGGCGUGCUUAGCUGCUCGCCCAGCACCCCCCUAAAAAAACCUUGCUGGAUCCACCACUGCAAGGGUCAAUAUUGGCAAGAAACUUAUAUUUAUUUAUUCUAGCUGUUUCAGUUUGUUCAAUUAAAAUUUCUAUUCAGGUUUACAAUUCAACAAAAUUAUGUACCCCGGUAGGCAAGUAGUUUUUUCUUUUUCUGUUUUUCAUCUCAUUUCCACCUCAGUUAUAAUUAAAGAAAGUUAACAUCUUACUAAACCCACUGAACUGGCAUUACAUAUGUGGCACUACUGGCUAAGUUUCCCCCCAAGUACAAACCUUGGAAUUUAGUUCAGUAUUCAGCAAAGCAGAUAAAGUAAUAAUCUUGGAAAAUGUAUGCUAAAUUUAUCUGCACUAGACACCUAUUUCAGUAGAGUUUUAAAUAUUACUACCUACACUUUUGUUGAAAACUUGCUGCUACCUUGGCUGAUCC